rnacentral:rRNA from 1 species
UGGGGAAUCUUGCGCAAUGGGCGAAAGCCUGACGCAGCCAUGCCGCGUGAGUGAUGAAGGCCUUAGGGUUGUAAAACUCUUUCACCGGGGACGAUAAUGACGGUACCCGGAGAAGAAGCCCCGGCUAACUUCGUGCCAGCAGCCGCGGUAAUACGAAGGGGCUAGCGUUGCUCGGAAUUACUGGGCGUAAAGGGCGCGUAGGCGGAUCAGCAAGUUGGGGGUGAAAGCCCGGGGCUCAACCUCGGAAUUGCCUUCAAAACUGCUGAUCUAGAGUACGGGAGAGGUGUGUGGAACUCCGAGUGUAGAGGUGAAAUUCGUAGAUAUUCGGAAGAACACCAGUGGCGAAGGCGACACACUGGCCCGUUACUGACGCUGAGGCGCGAAAGCGUGGGGAGCAAACAGGAUUAGAUACCCUGGUAGUCCACGCUGUAAACGAUGAUUGCUAGUUGUCGGCAGGCA